CGUCUAUAUACGUAUAGCAUAUCAAUAAGCGGAGGAAAAGAAACUAACUAGGAUUCCCUCAGUAACGGCGAGUGAAGCGGGAAGAGCUCAAAUUUGAAAUCUUCAAGGUUCUACCUUGACGAAUUGUAGUUUAAAGAAGUGUUUUCUGUUGGAGUUUUGGUAAAAGUUCUUUGGAAUAGGACAUCAUAGAGGGUGAGAAUCCCGUAUUUGACCAUUAUUUCCAACUUUGUGAUACACUUUCAAAGAGUCGGAUUGUUUGGGAAUGCAGUCCAAAAUGGGUGGUAAAUUUCAUCUAAAGCUAAAUACUGGCGAGAGACCGAUAGCGAACAAGUACCGUGAGGGAAAGAUGAAAAGAACUUUGAAAAGAGAGUUAAACAGUACGUGAAAUUGUCAAAAGGGAAGCGUUUGACACCAGUGUUGUUUUCUCGAAAAUCAAUUAAAAAUGGCUGGAUUUUGUGUUGUAUUGACCUUAUCAAGCUUUCUUCACUUUUUUCCUGUCUUUUUUAAUGCACUUUUCGUUUAACAAGUCAACAUCAGUUUCUUUUGUUGUAAAAGGGUCAUUGGAAGGUGGCUUUCUUUUCGGAGAAAGUGUUUAUAGCCUUUGACUUCUGCAAUCGGAGAGAUUGAGGUCUGCAGCGUAGAUCCUUCGGGGUUAGAUGCAUUUGUGCUAAGUUAUAGCCUUUCAUAGACAACUUGUUGACUAUGAUCAGUCAUGUAGCUUACUCGCUUAUGUCAUUUUACCUACGCUUAGGAUGUUGACGAUCAGCUGAGCGCG
rnacentral:rRNA from 1 species